AACUGCUCUAGAAUAUUAGUUUGGGGUGUGUUGAUUACAUACAUUAUGAUAUACUCGUUGAAACAAUUAGUACUUUCAUCCUCAGUGACAAUAACAUUACUUUUCCUCAGUGUAGUGUGACUGGGCUAGGGAGGUUAUUGGAAAUGUCAUAUAUAAAGCAAUAACAUCAGCAGUGUAAGGAUGCUUAUAGUUAUAUAAAAUGUAUUCAAUGCAGACAACACUACAAGACUGUACUCCAGGAUGUCCAAUAGAGGGCAGACUAGUGACAGACCAAGUACAACAUCCUUCUCUUCUCUAAUCACCACCGGCAGUAUACAAGACACUACAGUACUGCACUCCAGGAUGUCCAGUAGAGGGCAGACUAGUGACAGACCAAGUGCAACAUCUUCCUCUUCUCCCAUAACCACCACCGACAGUAGACAAGACAACACUACAGGACUGCACUCCAGGAUGUCCAAUAGAGGGCAGACUUGUGACAGACCAAGUAAAACAUCCUUCUCUUCUCUAAUUACCACCGGCAGUAUACAAGACACUACAGUACUGCACUCCAGGAUGUCCAGUAGAGGGCAGACUAGUGACAGACCAAGUGCAACAUCUUCCUCUUCUCCCAUAACCACCACCGACAGUA